rnacentral:rRNA from 1 species
CGCGUAGGUGGUUUGUUAAGUUGGAUGUGAAAGCCCCGGGCUCAACCUGGGAACUGCAUCCAAAACCUGGCAAGCUAGAGUACGGUAGAGGGUGGUGGAAUUUCCUGUGUAGCGGUGAAAUGCGUAGAUAUAGGAAGGAACACCAGUGGCGAAGGCGACCACCUGGACUGAUACUGACACUGAGGUGCGAAAGCGUGGGGAGGCAAAUA